GGUCGUGGAUCCAUCCUGUUGCUACAUCCUUUGGAUAUAUCGACUGGGUCAUGGUCGCAUCUGUCCUGUUGGAAUCUGAUUCAUUGUUAUUCAGUUAGAAGCUCGAUGCAGCUUAUUUAUGCACAUGAGUUUCAGAUUCUAAGAUCUUUCUGCUUGUUCCUCCGUAAGGAGUAAGGACACUCAUUUCAUGCAAUGGUUGCAUCUAGGUAGCUCUUUUUUACGGUAGAAUAUAGAACAAAAUAUUUGCCUUUUGAUUCGACUGGUUUUUAUUUCAUUCCAUAAACAAUGUAUCUACUAGAUGCAUCUAAAUGUGAACUAGUUGAAAAAAAAAAAUAAUAAAAAAAUAAAAUUACACAAAAAAAAAAAAAAAAAGUUGUUUGGAAGCUGAUAUUUAAACCCAGCCUGAUUGAUUUGCAUACACUCAUUCUCCAUUUUGAGAAUUGGAAAGCUACUCAUGUUUAUUUUCUUGCUGUUUAGUCCCGAUUCAUCUCUCUCUCUCUCUCUCUCUCUCUCUCUCUCUCUCUCUCUCUCUCUCUCAAAUUCUUUUUUUUAUUUUUAUUACUGUUUUGCAUUGUACAAGGGAUGAUGAUUCAGAGGAGCUAGAGAAAAGCAAUGUAUUGUUGAUGGGUCCAACUGGCUCAGGUAUGGCCUCUGCUUUGUAAAGGCAUGGAAGUCCUUGCUGAAAAAACCACAUGAUUAACAGGUUGUUAACAAAUAUAUCGAUGAAGGAGGUAGCAGAGCUUGUCCCUGGAGUCCUAUUCAUUGAUGAGGUUCACAUGCUCGUUAUUGAAUGCUUUUCAUACCUUAACCAUGCCCUAGAAAGCUCACUAUCACCAAUAGUAAUUUUUGCUAUGAACAGAGGAAUAUGCAAUGUCAGGUAAUGAGAAACUCAAAACUUUCAUAUCCCUUCUCCUAUAUACCCUGUGAGUUCACCACAUUCUUCAUCUCUACAAUGCCAUGCAUGUGCAACAAUCCACAUGCACACUCAUGUGGAGAUGCACUCAAUCUAGAUCCUCCAAAAUUUAGGUUGGGCACUGGGCAGUCCAUAAUGAUCACCUUGAUCAUAAAUAAAAAAUAAAAAAUCAGCCCCAUUCACCUAUCAGGUGGGCCACAACAUAAAAAACAAGUCCUAGCUAUUGAUAAAUAACAAAACAGAAGUGUGAUCCACUUUUCUUUUUCCUUUUUUUUUGAAAGGUAACAUUAACUUUUAUUAAGAGGGGAAAAAAAGAAGAAGAAGAAGAAUUGCUGAGAUGGAGCCUUCUCAUUUUUAGAACUGUCAAGCAAAAAAAAAAAAAAGCCUCUUAUGCCCUUUCUAGGAGAAAAUUACCUAAAAUCUUGUCAAUGUAUCUCUAGUUUAAUCUUUAAAUUAGGUUUUAAAGUUUCCAGUGAGGCGCUGGACUCACAAAUUGACAAUUCCUACCAGAUUCCCCUGCUGCCCAACUAACUGGCCACUAUGAAGUUAUUGCUUUUGAUUUCGGGUACCAGUCUAGUUGUUAAUCUAAAAACUCAACUUCUCUAGAUGAUUGUCGCAGUACUUUUUUGUCCAUCAUCAAAAGCUUAUGGGAUUUGGCAGCUAUUAGCUAUAGUAGUCUGUGGUUGUGAUUGAGGAACUAGAUUAUAGCAUUCCAUGCAUGUUGAAAGAUGCAGAACUGAAUCUCCAAUAGAUGAUAAACUGAUGAAGAGCCAAUUGAGAUGGUUGGAACAUGUGCUACAAUAAGCAAGAUGGCCCCAGUAAGCAAGGGAACUAUGAUUGGGGUUUAUUGGGCCUAAAAGGAGGAUAAGCUAGGAACUAAAGACUAGGGUCAAGGCAGAGAGAAGGGAUAUGAAAGUUUGUUUGCCGAGGGUAGGGCCUCAGGAAUGAGUGGUGAAACAAGAUUCGGAAACCUAUACUAGAUGGGACAAUGUUGGUAGGAAAAUAAAGGUGUAAGGGUCAAUCUUAAGUUCUUUCUACAGGAAAUAACAACAUGCAUGUUUAUUCUCACAUUCAGCAUCUUUACUGAAAAUUUUCCAUGGUUUGACAUAGCUCAGGACUAUAUAAUUAUUUUUGAAUGCAUUCUUUUGCUGCAAUAACAUUUCUAGUUCCUCCUACUUAUGCCAGGCUAUUCUCUUACAUAUCAUGUAUUGUAGUGGUAAGCUGGUUGAGGAUGUGAAGCAUCCAAUGCACAUGUUUGUUUUGAGAUUACACAUGAAGCUCCAUGCUAGUGGCUGGUCUCUGAUCCUUUUCUCAAGGAUGCCUGAGAAACAGCGGAAUGCCACCAUGGACCAUCUCAUUUCUGCGGGAUAUAGAAGCUGGUCUUCUUUGAUUAUGAGGUAGUAUGCCCUUCCACAUAUUUUGAUGUGAAAAAUUGCCCAUUUAUCUUUGAGGAGUGUUGCUAAGCACACAGGCAUUUGCAAUGAGUCUCAUGUAGUCACCGCACAUGUGCCAACAUAGCACAUAGGAGCGACAUCCGAUCCAAUCCAUCUAUAGCACAUCGGAACUCAUGCUUUGUUCAGGUAUGCAGGCAACUGUCCUGGAAUUUUGAAGGUGCAUUCGGGUGUUUAAUUACUGUACCUAGCAUGUAUGUGCAUCCAGAUUUAUACUUAUCCACUGUUAAUAUUUUGGGCUUUUGCAACAGGAAUAAUCACCGCAUCCUUUCAUAGCUGCCAUGUUUCUAGUCUGCUUUUCCAGUUGUUU